rnacentral:rRNA from 1 species
UACGGAGGAUCCAAGCGUUAUCCGGAUUUAUUGGGUUUAAAGGGUGCGUAGGUGGUCUUUUAAGUCCGUUGUGAAAUCCCUGGGCUCAACCUGGGAAUGGCAGUGGAUACUGGAGGGCUAGAGUGCGGUAGAGGGUAGUGGAAUUCCCGGUGUAGCAGUGAAAUGCGUAGAGAUCGGGAGGAACACCAGUGGCGAAGGCGGCUACCUGGACCAGCACUGACACUGAGGCACGAAAGCGUGGGGGAGCAAACAGG